AAAAAGCAAGGAGAAAGAGAUAGAAAUUAUGAGCCAAGGAGGAGCGGAGUAAUGAAUAGCUGUUAUUAACAUAUUCCUGAGAAGCUUCCAUGAACAUCAACCUACUCAGCCUCACAGAGAUCACAGACCGCAUGCAAGUCUUUUGCUCAGGCUUACGGAUUUGAAGAAUUAAACUUUGACGCAUUGAAAGGACAAUUUUGUAAGAUAAACGAGAGAACGAGACGCGCACGCACACGCGCACGCACACACACACACACACAAGCAACUGGUCAUGUCUAAAGAAGACUUUUUAGUUCUAAUUUAAUAAUGUAACCACUGAUCUAUUAUAGAGGAUAUAUAUAGUCAUUCUAUAUAUCAGUGGAUGUAACCAAAUAGUGUAAAAAAAAAAAAAUCUUUAAAAAGGGAAAAUUAUUUUUAUUGAUCAAUGAACAGCUCAUUGAUAUAUACCAAAUAAUUGUUCAGGCAUAGGGAUUUGAAGUUAAACUUUAAUCCACUAUUUCUGAAUUGACACGAAAAAUGAAUAACCAAAAAAAUCAGCUUAGAGAAAUCCAAAAAAGUUUAAUGAUUGUAAUUUCUUGAUUCUAAAAUGUCAUGAGGUGUAACAAUGAAGUAAAAAGUUCUCACACUACGAAUACAUAAGUGUAAAUAUCUUAAUCAUGUUCAUAUAUUAUCAAUAUUUUAGGUCACACUUUAUUUUAAGGUUUAGCUCUCACCAUUACAAACCUCAAACUCCUAAUUUGCUUCUUAUUAAUCGUAAGGUAGUUGUUAAGUUUAGGUAUUCACUUAGGGAUGUAGAAUAUGGAGAUGCACAAUAUGUGCUUCAUGAUAACUAAUAAACAGCCUGUAUGUUAAUAAUAACAAGGUUUUCAAGGAGUUGUGCCAUGUGACUGACCAUAUGUGAGGGUGGUGUGGCAAUAUUUGUGAAGUUCCUACAGAAAUUGUCAGUUACUGUGAUGACUGUGCAUUUUUUCCUCCUCAGUAUUAAGAAGCUGUUGAAAAAAACAACAACUAAUUUUCUUUAUUAUGAUAUCAAGAGGACAGCCGUAUCACCCUGAUGUCAUAAGCGUAUCAGAUUAAAAGCUUUAAAUCAAAUGCUCUUAAUGAAUCUUUCAGGAAUAUAAUUGUUCAGCUAAAUGCUGAUUUUAUCAGCUUUUCAUACACACACACACACACACAGAGUAUAAUUUAUUUUCCCAAAGAGGACAAAACAGGAAACAUAUCCGUGUUGAAUGCACUCUUACACUCUGCACUGCAAAUAUAAGCCUGCAUGUGUUUCUGCAUGAAUACUAGGCGGCCACAGCUGGCUCAUAACACUGCUCGUGCAACCCAAAGCACUCCAGACACCAGGUAAGAGGAGUCCUUAUUUAUGGCCCUGUCCACCCACAGUGUAUCAUUUUGCCUCUGGGGGAAAGCAGGCGACUUGUUGACUUUGGCUAGCAGCAUCUUAUCUGAUACUGCCGAAGUGGUCCUUUUUUUUUUUUUUUUUUUAGGUUUUUGCAAGCUGUCAGACAUGUCUGGUGCUGUGUGAUCAUCUGAAAGCCCCUUCAGCCUAAAGGUGAAAUGACACAGCACUGCACUGCAGAAAGAUAUCUAAAAGUAAGCUAUUAAUGAAAUGCUGCUUGAAUUGUUUUAUCAUUUAAAGCGGGGACAGAAAAAUAGGAAAUGCUCAGAUGCUCUGCAAUAGACUGACUCACAUAUAUUUCUAUGUAAAAAUCCACCGUUUCUGCAGCACUAAGGAUUUGAGUGACAGAGUGAAGAGAGAGAGGUGAUGGAUCUACACUAAUUUGAGUCCUGAGACGAGGAGGAGAAAAAAAAAAAAAAAAAAAAAAAAAAAAAAAAAAAAUCAAGGCAGUAAUCACAGAGAAGCAGGUCUUAUGCCCUUAAAUCAGAACAACAAAACAUCUCUAUUGGAAAUUUUCAACAGGCUAUGACUCACUCGCUCAGAGCCUCUGCUCAGAAAUGUGCUUCUAACAACCGUUCCUGAGGCCUCUGAAGACAAAUACACUGAAUCUUGUUUUCAAACGCACAACCAAAUAAUUAUUGAUUCCAGCAGUUUAUCUAAAAAUAUAUUUACCGCUUCCUUUUUAUUCCUUUUUCUAUUUUUAGGGAAGAAUCCCUGAAUUUAUAAGCCGUUACUGUUUAUCCAGUGAUGUUGAGGGAAAUAAAGACUGCUUACCUGAAAUCCAAAAACAGCACACUAUAACACCCCCCAUGUUUUUCCAAAAUUGUAAGAACUUAUUUCUUCUGGGAAACACUAAAGAUGAUAUAUAUAAAAAAAAAAAAAAAAAAAUAAAAAUAAUAAUUAUAUAUAUAUAUAUAUAUAUAUAUUUUUUUUUACAUAUCUUCUUUAGUGUUUAUUUACUUGUUUGUUGCUUUGUGAACUACCCAUUAAAACCAACAAUUAAAUUCUAAACAAUCAAAAUGACCUGCAUUUUACUCAUGUAUCAGUAUGUAUUUCUCAGUAAAACGAGGAGAACGUAGGCCCACACUUGAUUUUAACUACUAGGAGUUGAUUGCAUUGUGAUAUGACACAAACUAGAAGAGGGACAGAUGGUUGGAGGGGUUAAAAACAUGAAGUCUUGUUGACGUCAGCCAAAAAGUAGUUUCAGAGGUGGAGCAAGUUAAUACUGUUUGCUUUAGCAUUACGACAACAUUUUGCCUUUAGAAUAACGUGCACCAAAGAAUUCUGCAUCUGCUAAAACGCUUAAUACGAGACUUACUAUACUUUAACAGAUCAGGUUGACACCUCAAACACUGAGAUUUUUUUUUUUUUUUAAGGUAAAUGUAAAUCUACAUUUUUAUGCUAAGGACAGUUUAAGCAAUAAACUGAAGGAAACGUCUAAAUAUGUAAAUGUGUAAAGAAGGAGACAUUAAGUUAAGCAACGCUUCAACAUUUAAAAAAAAAAAAAACAACUUCCAGUGGAUCUCCAUUACCUUUUACUUUAAUGUGGAAAUCAUUUCCAGCACACAUUCUGAUCACGCCGCUGGAUUUCUAAACCCAGAUAUAUGGAAAAGAAAGGAGACAUGUCUUGUCAUGUCCCAGUCUUGUUCUCUGGGAAAUUGAUUAAAAUAAAAUAGUCAGUUUAUGAUCAUAACGAGAACGAUUUUACAAAUGGGGGCCAAAAAAAAACACUCAAUCCAAAGGGAAAAAAAGUUUUCAUACCCCAUUGACGGAGAUUGGUUCUCGUUUCAAGUAUAUAUUCGAUUUGAUUACAUUUCUCAGGCAACAAGACUCAAAAUGUGCAUCUCAAGUAAACAUUUUUAUUUAAGAACGUUUAUAUGUGCACACAAUGCGUUUUAAUGGCGACAUUGCAUUUAAUUAACCUUGUUGUUUCAUUGUAUCUUCCUGAGUAACCAAAAAGUCCUUGCUGGACAAAGAGUGAGCCAGCACAACCCAAAUGUUUCAAACUGUAAGCAACUAUUUCCAGAGCUCCCCUUGUGUUGUGUGCAUUCUGCAUCAUGCUGAGACACUUCACAAACAGCCACUAAAAACAAGUCUGUCCCCGAUCCCCUAGCAUAAAAGUGUUUGCCAAGUCAGAAUCAAUUUAAAGAUUCAAAAUCAGAAAAGAAGCCGUAUCGAAAAUGCCAUUUCUACAUGAAAUUGCAUUUGUAUCCAAAAAAAAAAAAAAAAAACAGAAGCUCUUGAAACACAUUUCACGGCCUGCUGGGCAAGACAUACAGCACCGAAUACAAUAGAAAGCCCUGAAGCAAUGCUGUUCACAGCCAGAUGCAAACCACCGGGAGGAAUAUAUCACUGCAAACACAACCCGAGUGUUCAAAACAGCCCGGCUGCAAAGCAUUUUACUGUGAUAAGUCUUCGAUUCGCAAGUUAACAUCCCUGCGUUUGCAGGCAGGCCUUGGAUGUUUUUGCUGAGACGUUACUUUGUGAUUUUCAGUACUUUUCCUUUCGAUCGGAGGUGAUGUCAUCAUUGCUGUUCCAGGCUCUGAGUCAUGACAAAACAUCUUUGAUCUCUAAAGAGAAAAAAAAAUAAAGUUUCCCUUUCGAACACGUCCAACUUGUAGUUGUCGGCUAUCACGAUUAGGCCACUUGCCUGACAUUGCUUAAUUGCAGGGAGACCUUUUCAAAACACAACGGCCAUUACGAACAUAGAACCGAUAAAGCAUUCUGAACGAAAUGAGAUUUAUGAAACGCAAGAGCAAGUAAACAUGCAAAAUAAAGGCCUGAUGGGAACUAGGCCCCUGAUUUAAACCACUAUUAUUUUUUUAGCACUAAUGCAGACAUGAAAACCAACCACUUUAACUCCAGCUAGAGGCCUGUGUGUGUGUGUGUGUGUGUGUGUGUGUGUGUGUGUGUGUGUGUGUGUGUGUGUCUAAACGAGCGGGCAGGAUGUUUCUCCCUGAGGUUCAGGCUCCAGAGCCGGACUGGAGAUGUGCUCACACACUUUGCUUACGCAAACACAGCAAGGGGGCAAUUGAGACUCUAUGAAUAGAUGGUCUUUCACAAAGACCCUCAUCUGAGGGUGCAUCAGCGUGAGAGAGAGAGAGAGAGAGCGAGAAAACGACUGCAGAACGCUACCAGCAAGCGAUGCAUGUGCAUUACCAAAACACAAAAGGUGGCAAAAGCGCGUUUGUGUUUACAGGCAGGAAGCCUAUGCAGCAAACGCAUGCAAAUCACGCUCAGGCCACAACUUUUCCUCUCCUCUGCCAGUUGUUUACAGGUUUCCACCGAGCGCGGUUCAAACGGAUCUCUGUCAAACUGAUCAAAACGGGUCAGUUUUUGAUUAAAGCAACCGCAAAGAUAAGCUUCGCGUCGAGUCAUCAGGAUGCCCCCUUCAUCUGUAUCAAAGCCGUGAUGCUGAAUACGUGAUCAUACGCCGUGCAUCACAGACGGGGGGAUUUAAAGCAACAUCCCCUCCGUACAUUUAUACCGCCGCGCAAGAAGAAAAACAACCCCGAGCACGUACACACACCCCUCUACCGUCGAGGCAACUUCAGCGGCAGUCGUUACCGCCAAACAAAACACCCAUGACCGCUUGCUCGACGAUGUCAUGCGCCGCUCGCGCGGAGCAGAUAGACAUUUGGAUGAAAACCGUCAAGAAGUGCUGGAAGUGCAUCUGAUCCUCGUGAGAGAAAGCAGAUCCCUGAUGAAAUUUACAGAUAUUGGUCUGCUAUAGCAUCUUCUCUUCGCCUCGGCUGGCUUGGGACGAAUAACGUUAGAACGGAGAUGAAAGCGUGCCAACUUGCCCUUUUCCCUAAUCUGUUGAACUCCUCCGCUGUAGAAGAGGAUAUUCUUGGCCUGGAGGAACAUCUACGAG